GAUGAACGCUGGCGGCGUGCCUAAUACAUGCAAGUCGAGCGAACAGACGAGGAGCUUGCUCCUCUGACGUUAGCGGCGGACGGGUGAGUAACACGUGGAUAACCUACCUAUAAGACUGGGAUAACUUCGGGAAACCGGUGCUAAUACCGGAUAACAAGUUGAACCGCAUGGUUUAACAGUGAAAGACGGUCUUGCUGUCACUUAUAGACGGAUCCGCGCCGCAUUAGCUAGUUGGUAAGGUAACGGCUUACCAAGGCGACGAUGAGUAGCCGACCUGAGAGGGUGAUCGGCCACACUGGAACUGAGACACGGUCCAGACUCCUACGGGAGGCAGCAGUAGGGAAUCUUCGGCAAUGGGCGAAAGCCUGACGGAGCAACGCCGCGUGAGUGAAGAAGGUCUUCGGAUCGUAAAGCACUGUUAUUAGGGAAGAACAAAUGUGUAAGUAACUAUGCACGUCUUGACGGUACCUAAUGAGAAAGCCACGGCUAACUACGUG
rnacentral:rRNA from 1 species